CCGUUCGACCCUUUCUCCCUCCCCAGCCCUCACCCACGCGAUCUCGAGACGACCUAGUGUUGAGGUUUCUUCCUCCAUCCGAAGAAGCCUCUCCUUCAUUCGUUUGCCCGCUAGCCGUGCAGCCACCAUUCGUCAUGGCCAGGUAUGCCUUCCCUGCGCUCUCUCUCUCCCCCCCGCCCCACCUGUUGAUGGGAGGUGUGUCUCCCCCACCGUUUCUCUAUCUUCCUCACCCUCGCUUUCUUUCUCUCUUUGGCACAUCCUCGACGGGAGGUCGUGUUCCCCUCUAUUUGCCUUCCUCUCUCUCUCUUUGAUGGAGGUGUACAUUGGCCAUGGCCGAUGCACAAAGGGGCCCCUUUAUUCUUCCAAUGGAAUUGCUGACGAGAGGAAUUCUUGAAGGGGCUCUGUUCUGCUUCAUUUCAGUGAUGUUAAUUGGUUGUUUUCAGUAACAGGUAGGACAACAUGUUCUGUUCUGCUGUUAUGGGGAGCUUCCGUUGACCUAUAACGAGCUUCUUCUGCAGUCUAAGGCAGUUUUUGUUUUUUUGUUUUUUUCUUCUCUUCAUCUGCGAACUGAACUAGUCCUUAUAUCUUUCCCUUCUUUCGUUUGGAUCUAGAGUUUAUUUUCCUCA